rnacentral:rRNA from 1 species
UUUCGGCUAGGGGGUCAUCCCGACUUACCAACCCGAUGCAAACUACGAAUACCGAAGAAUGUUAUCACGGGAGACACACGGCGGGUGCUAACGUCCGUCGUGAAGAGGGAAACAACCCAGACCGCCAGCUAAGGUCCCAAAGUCAUGGUUAAGUGGGAAACGAUGUGGGAAGGCACAGACAGCCAGGAUGUUGGCUUAGAAGCAGCCAUCAUUUAAAGAAAGCGUAAUAGCUCACUGGUCGAGUCGGCCUGCGCGGAAGAUGUAACGGGGCUAAACCAUGCACCGAAGCUGCGGCAGCGACACUAUGUGUU